rnacentral:rRNA from 1 species
GCGUUGUCCGGAAUUAUUGGGCUUAAAGAGCUCGUAGGCGGUUUGUUGCGUCGGCUGUGAAAUCCCGAGGCUCAACCUCGGGUCUGCAGUCGAUACGAGCAAACUAGAGUGUUGCAGGGGAGACUGGAAUUCCCGGUGUAGCGGUGAAAUGCGCAGAUAUCGGGAGGAACACCUAUGGCGAAGGCAGCUCGCUGGGACGUUACUGACGCUGAGACGCGAAAGCGUGGGGAGCGAACAGG